rnacentral:lncRNA from 1 species
GCCAGCAGUGGUAGUGCACCCCUGUAAUCCCAGGAACUCGGGAGGCUGAGGCAGAAGGAUGGCAAGUCCAAGGCCAGCCUCAGCAACUAAGUGAGACCCUGUCUCAAAAUUAAUCAUUUUUGAAAAGGGCUGGGGAUGUGGCUUGGUGGUUAAGCGCCCUUGGGUUCAAUCCCCGGUAUGGAAAAAAAAAAAAGAUUAGGGGUCAGGAUAAAGAUAUAAUAUGUGGAGUCCAUUAGAAUAAUAAUAGACUUAGCUAAUAAAUAACCGCCUGGAGGGCUCUCCCAAUGCCAGGACCUACCAGGCUCUUACCGCGUCAUUGCUCCUCAGGGCCAUCUUGUGCUGGAGACCGUGAUUAGCCCCACUCUACAGAUAAGGAGACCGAGGCCUCCAGAAGUAGAGUAGCACGUCCAGCCUCGUCAAUAUGUGAUUGUGGGAGUUUGGAAUCCAAAUCCUGGCGUAAUUGACUCCGGAGCCUUUGGGUCCUCUACCCGGUCAGUUCUACCCUGGGCAGGGGGAGAAUCGUUGGGACAGGGUCUUUAACAGGUUGGUGGAACCUCCCUCCUAAAUCAUCUUGAAAAGCCGACUCGGGCUGAGUCAAGGGGCAGGAGGGCAUCUCAUGGUCACCCUCCCUUCUCCAGGAACUGGGAGCCACGGGGCCUCGCGGAGGCUCUGGACCUCCUGGAAGGUGGCGGAAUCCAGCAUGGCUGGCCGGGGACCCGAGGCCAAGGGCGGCGGGCGGCUGGCAGCUAUGGGGAGAGAGCUGAG